rnacentral:rRNA from 1 species
UAGGGAAUCUUCGGCAAUGGACGAAAGUCUGACCGAGCAACGCCGCGUGAGUGAAGAAGGUUUUCGGAUCGUAAAACUCUGUUGUUAGAGAAGAACAAGGACGUUAGUAACUGAACGUCCCCUGACGGUAUCUAACCAGAAAGCCACGGCUAACUACGUGCCAGCAGCCGCGGUAAUACGUAGGUGGCAAGCGUGGUCCGGAAUUAUUGGGCGUAAAGCGAGCGCAGGCGGUUUCUUAAGUCUGAUGUGAAAGCCCCCGGCUCAACCGGGGAGGGUCAUUGGGAACUCGUGGACUUAAGUGCAUAAGAGGCGAGUGAAAUUCCAUUGGUAGCGGUGAAAUGCGUAGAUAUAUGGAGGAACACCAGUGGCGAAGGCGGCUCUCUGGUCUGUAACUGACGCUGAGGCUCGAAAGCGUGGGGAGCAAACAGG